ACGUAGGGGGCAAGCGUUAUCCGGAUUUACUGGGUGUAAAGGGAGCGUAGACGGCACGGCAAGCCAGAUGUGAAAGCCCGGGGCUCAACCCCGGGACUGCAUUUGGAACUGCUGAGCUAGAGUGUCGGAGAGGCGAGUGGAAUUCCUAGUGUAGCGGUGAAAUGCGUAGAUAUUAGGAGGAACACCAGUGGCGAAGGCGGCUUGCUGGACGAUGACUGACGUUGAGGCUCGAAAGCGUGGGGAGCAAACAG
rnacentral:rRNA from 1 species